GCGACGAAUCUUCCGCAAUGGACGAAAGUCUGACGGAGCGACGCCGCGUGCGGGAUGAAGCGGCUUUGCCGUGUAAACCGCUGUCAGGAGAUAGAAACAAUGAUCAUCUCCAGAGGAAGGGCCGGCUAACCCUGUGCCAGCAGCCGCGGUAAUACAGGGGGCCCAAGCGUUAGUCGGAAUCACUGGGCUUAAAGGGUGCGUAGGCGGACUUGUAAGUGUCGUGUGAAAGCCCAUCGCUCAACGAUGGAACCGCACGGCAAACUGCAAGUCUCGAGGAAGGUAGAGGCGGGUAGAACGUUUGGUGGAGCGGUGGAAUGCGUAGAUAUCAAACGGAAUGCCAAAGGUGAAGACAGCCCGCUGGGCCUUUCCUGACGCUGAGGCACGAAAGCGUGGGGAGCAAACAGGAUUAGAUACCCUAGUAGUCC
rnacentral:rRNA from 1 species